rnacentral:rRNA from 1 species
AUCCUGGCUUAGGAUGAACGCUGGCGGCGUGCCUAACACAUGCAAGUCGAACGGGACUGAUCUUGGAGAUUCGUCGAAGAAGAUGAAAGUUAGUGGCGGACGGGUGAGUAACGCGUGGGUAACCUGCCUCAUAGACGGGGGACAACAGCUGGAAACGGCUGCUAAUACCGCAUAAGCCCACACUGCCGCAUGGCAGAGGGGGAAAAGAUUUAUCGCUAUGAGAUGGACCCGCGUUUGAUUAGCUAGUUGGCCGGUGUAACGGACCACCAAGGCGACGAUCAAUAGCCGGACUGAGAGGUUGAACGGCCACAUUGGGACUGAGACACGGCCCAAACUCCUACGGGAGGCAGCAGUGGGGAAUAUUGCACAAUGGGGGAAACCCUGAUGCAGCGACGCCGCGUGGGUGAAGAAGUUUUUCGGAAUGUAAAGCCCUAUCAGCAGGGAAGAUAAUGACGGUACCUGACUAAGAAGCCCCGGCUAACUACGUGCCAGCCGCUGC